UGGGGAAUCUUGGACAAUGGGGGCAACCCUGAUCCAGCGAUGCCGCGUGGGUGAAGAAGGCCUUCGGGUUGUAAAGCCCUUUAGGCUGGGAAGAAGGAUAUGGGAUGAAUAAUCCUGUAUUUUGACGGUACCAGCAGAAUAAGCACCGGCAAACUCUGUGCCAGCAGCCGCGGUAAUACAGAGGGUGCGAGCGUUAAUCGGAUUUACUGGGCGUAAAGGGCGCGUAGGCGGUUGUAUGAGUGUGAUGUGAAAGCCCCGGGCUCAACCUGGGAAGUGCAUCGCAAACGAUACGACUAGAGUAUAUGAGAGGGUGGCGGAAUUUCCGGUGUAGCGGUGAAAUGCGUAGAGAUCGGAAGGAACGUCAAUGGCGAAGGCAGCCACCUGGCAUAAUACUGACGCUGAGGCGCGAAAGCGUGGGGAGCGAACAGG
rnacentral:rRNA from 1 species